GGAAGGAUCAUUAAAGGAACGUUUAAAGGGGACGUCGCUGCGGGGGGCCUUCUCCUGCGCACGUCUUCGAUCCGCAUAUAUACACACCUUUGUGCAUCACGUCGGAGGUUGUCCCCUCUCCUGUCGAGAGGAAAGGCCUUCGACCCCCGUUAUUUUAAUUAAUGCCUGUCUACGCAUGUGUAUUUGGAAAACGCAAUUAAAUACAACUUUCAACAACGGAUCUCUUGGCUUUCGCAUCGAUGAAGGACGCCGCGAACGCGCGAAACGUAAUGUGAAUUGCAGAAUUCAGUGAAUCAUCGAAUCUUUGAACGCAUCUUGCGCUCCUUGGUAUUCCGAGGAGCAUGCCUGUUUGAGCGUCGCGAACGUGCUCAAGCCUCUCCUUAGCGUGCGGCUUGGAUUUGGACGUGUUGCUGCGCGUGCGUGCGGCUCGUCUUGAAACGCAUGGGGUCGGGCUUUUGUUUUUGGUUGACUCUUGGUGUGAUAAGCAGAUAUAUGCGGCCACCGAGUUGACCUUUGACGCGUCCCGGUGCCACACACACAAACCCUCUUUCAAAUUGGGGCGUUUUUUUUGUCGUUCGACCUCAAAUCAGGUAGGACUACCCGCCGAACUUAWGCAUAUCAAUAAGCGGAGGAAAAGAAACUAAMCAGGAUUCCCCUAGUAAC
rnacentral:rRNA from 1 species